rnacentral:snRNA from 1 species
AGGUUUGGGGAGGGGCAAUACUGUAGCCAAUGCAGUUUAUCCAAGGCAUGGUUACUGCUAAUUGGAAACAAAGAGUAAAUCCAGGUAAAAGGUAAUAUGUGGGUCAGUAUCAAUUUU